AGCGAACGCUGGCGGCAGGCCUAACACAUGCAAGUCGAACGGACCCUUCGGGGUUAGUGGCGGACGGGUGAGUAACACGUGGGAACGUGCCUUUAGGUUCGGAAUAGCUCCUGGAAACGGGUGGUAAUGCCGAAUGUGCCCUUUGGGGGAAAGAUUUAUCGCCUUUAGAGCGGCCCGCGUCUGAUUAGCUAGUUGGUGAGGUAAUGGCUCACCAAGGCGACGAUCAGUAGCUGGUCUGAGAGGAUGACCAGCCACAUUGGGACUGAGACACGGCCCAAACUCCUACGGGAGGCAGCAGUGGGGAAUCUUGCGCAAUGGGCGAAAGCCUGACGCAGCCAUGCCGCGUGGAUGAUGAAGGUCUUAGGAUUGUAAAAUCCUUUCACCGGUGAAGAUAAUGACUGUAGCCGGAGAAGAAGCCCCGGCUAACUUCGUGCCAGCAGCCGCUGUAAUAC
rnacentral:rRNA from 1 species